rnacentral:rRNA from 1 species
CCUGGCUUCACCCUGAAUACACCCAAUCUCAUCUGAUCUCUAAAGCUAAGGAGGGUUGGGCCUGGUUAGUACCUGGAUGGGAGACAGAUUGCUUUCUACCAGAAUCUCCCUGCAGAGUUUCCCUGCCUGCCCAAAGGA